UAAAAAUAUGACUGAAAUUCUCAAGUUUGUGUACUAUAUGAUUUUCUUUCUUUCUCUAUAUCUUAUCAUAAAGAAUGUAGAAGGUAGAUACAUAACGAAGCAAGCUCAAGGAAAUUUCUCUAUAGACCUCGCAACCUUCUAAUCCACCUCUGGUGAAAAACCCAAACUACCCCUGACUUCGGAAGUUCAUUUCCGAAAUGCAAAAAAAAGACGUUUUCGGAGAUGCAUCUCCGAAAGUGCCUUUUUUUUUUGAAAAAAUUGUCUUAUUUCAGAAGUUCAUUUCCGAAAACACCAUUUCGGAAAUGAACUUCCAAAAUACUGCGCGUUUUGCAGAUUUAGCAAAACAGCCCCCUCCCCCAAUUCAUUUACCCUAAAUCAACUUAAUACUCAACCCCUCUUCAAAUUUUCGGCCAAAAUCAAGUGUAAGAUCAAAGAGCAUUCCCAAGUCUUCUUCCAAACUCAUCAUCAAACACUAAUUGGAACAUGUCAGGCAACCAACCAGCACGCAUCAGAUAGGGGAGAGAGUCCCAGACUGCGUCGGCUAGACGCGAGCGGGCGGCGGUGCAGCUGGCGUCGACCCAGGGACGGUGCAGGGUCGGGGACGCCGUGUGCGAAUUCCUGUGGACGUGGGAGAGGGUACAUCUGGUUCAGGUUCUAGGAGUUGGCUGGCUCGGGCAUCUUCUUCCCGCCAGCGAGAGGAGGAGGAGGAGGUGGCGGCAGUGACUUACCACGAGCCGGAGGGGGUACCGGAAGUUGACCCUCCAGCCGGGGAGGAGGAUGAGCAGGAGGACGGCUAUCCGGGAGGGCCCUUUGACACCUUUGUGCUGAUUCACUACCACGAUCACGUCGCUCGGCGGAUCUGGGAGGGAGAGGUAUUUUUUAAUUUAACCGUUUAAUUGUCACCAUUUUUUAUAGUUUAACCGUUUAUUUGUCGCUUAUUUAAUAUAUGUCGCUUAUUUAAUAUAUGUCGCUUAUUUGUUUUUUUUCUAACAAGAGAGAAAGCCGCUGAAAAUGGUCAACCACGUCCGCAAGAUUUUCAGUCUGUUUAAACUAGCAGCUGAGUGGUUCAACGACCAUGUGCGAGGUUCAGGGCUCAGCGGGCUCUGCACGACGGGGUACACCACCAUCAGCACCGGCAUGCAGGGGGUAUUUGUGGAGCGCUGGCACAAGGAGACGUCCUCUUUCCACUUGCCGGUUGGGGAGAUGACGAUCACCUUGCAUGAUGUGCAGUGUCUUCUCCACCUUCCGAUUAGGGGGCCGCUGUUACACCACUCCAAGAUCCAGAGGGUCGAGGCCAUUGAGUGGAUGACGCUCUAUUUGGGCAUGGAGCACGAGGUUGCUCACUUUGAGUGCGCCACGACUUCUGGGCCUCAUGUCCGGUUCACCACACUGAGCACUUAUUUUGAGCACCAUCUGAACGCGGCUGCCGAGGCUGAGGGUGAGGGUAACGAACUGUUCACACACUAUCACCGCGGCUGCGCUCUCCGGUGUUGGUACAUGCAUGUGGUAGGCGCUGCAUGCUUUGUGGACAAGAGUGUCAGGUACGUCGACGUGACCUACCUCCGCUACUUCAUGGACCUGGAUACCGUUCAUUAGUGGAACUGGGGGGCAGCUACUCUGGCAUACCUCUACCAGAAGCUGAAUGAGGCCUCCAACUGGAGGACCAGGCAGUUGGUUGGAUCCUGCACACUACUUACGAGCUGGAUCAUCUCCUACUUCUCCCGCAUCCACGGCUUCCACAUCGAUCAUGCGUACGUUGACGCCAUGCCCAGGGCCGCCAUAUACGCUCUCCAGAGGGGGAACGAUGCGGUGGGACCAUACCGUUUGUACUUGGACCGCACGAUGCACGACGACGUCACCUGGAGGCCGUUCGCCGACUACGCUCAGAUUGUCCCCUUUGACGGCAUUGCUUUAUAUUCAGGCUGGUUGGCAUGCGGGACCGGCAUCAUGGUCCGGUAUCUCCCUGAGCGGUGCAUGCGUCAGUUCGGAUUCGUGCAGCGGAUACCCAGGUCACCCUUUGAGGCUGCUCCCGACAGAGUGACCCGAGUGCAGCUCACUGCCAUAUGGGCGGAGUGGCAGCAACAUGUGGUACCGCAGGAGUACCGUCUCACUCGGGUCACACAGGACUGACACAAUGAGGAGGGGUACGUCACAUGGUUCUACCGGGUGUCCCAUCCUCUGCUGAGACCCGACGUUUCCGGCGCUUCUAGGCCAGCACAUGAGGAGAUCCUGGAGAACCAGCAGGCCGAGGAUGACCACGCCAUUGAUCUCAUGCCGAUCUGCCAGCGGAUAGAGAUGCUUGGGCGGGACGCGUUGGAUCGAGGUAUCGUUGAUCAGGGCGGUGCAGAGGCAGUCGCCGUGAUGGAGAGGAUCGUCACUGAUGCGGGCCGUGCAGCGGCAUACAGGUGGCAGAGGAGGUCCCAGGGAGAGAGGGUUAGGCAUACCCAGUAGGGGUCCUGGUUUAUUUUUUUUUUGUUUUCGGAUUAUAUGUUUCGCACACUAUUACUAUUUGGUUCGGCUUGUAUAUAUUAUUUGGAUUUUAUUUAUCGUAUUAGUAUUUUCUGUUUAUAUGUCGCUUAUUUUAUUUGGCGUUUGCGUUUAAUUAAAAUGCGAGACUGUUUAAGAAAAAACAUAAAAAAAACACAUUUUCUGCAUAAUUCGGAAGUUUAUUUCCGAACUCACCCCCCAUGAGGUGUUUUCGGAAGUUCAUCUCCGAAGACACCCCCCAUGAGGUGUUUUCGGAGAUGCACUUCCGAAUUGUGGAAAUUUUUAAAAAAAAAACAGCGCUUCGGAAGUUCAUUUCCAAAGCAGGGGUAUUUUGGGAUUUUCGCUGGAGGUGACCCCCAUAGGGAGGUGGCUAAAGAAAUUUUCUUUUAUUAUAUUUUUUCAUUGCAACAGCAAUGUUAAAGGAGUGUGGAAAGUCUAAUUGUCAACUAACAAAGGAUCAAAAGCUCAUAUGAGUUAUGGACAUAUGCAGGGCCGACCCUGUGCAUGUGCAACAAGAGCCACAGCACAGGGCCUCAUAAAAUGAAGGGCCUCCAAAUUUUCUUUUGUAUUCUGACUAUUAAUAAUUUAUUUUGGUGAUUGUACUGCAUCGAUUAUAAAAGUACUCAUUAGUCAUAUAAUAAAAUUUAUUACUAUUAAAGUGUAUCUGUUUUUGGGCCCACUUAUGUGAUUGUCAUUUUAUACACACUUUAGAAAUCAGUACUACCAUUAUACCAAUA